rnacentral:rRNA from 1 species
CCUUACCCGAUUAGCUGAGAGGUGGUGCAUGGCCGUCGUCAGUUCGUACUGUGAAGCAUCCUGUUAAGUCAGGCAACGAGCGAGACCCACGUCCACAGUUGCCAGCAUACCCUCCGGGGUGAUGGGUACACUGUGGAGACCGCCGCUGCUAAAGCGGAGGAAGGAGUGGGCAACGGUAGGUCAGUAUGCCCCGAAUCUCCCGGGCUACACGCGGGCUACAAUGGUUGGUACAAUGGGCAUCUACCCCGAAAGGGGAAGGAAAUCUCUUAAAGCCAAUCGUAGUUCGGAUUGAGGGCUGCAACUCGCCCUCAUGAAGCUGGAAUCCGUAGUAAUCGCGUUUCAACAGAACGCGGUGAAUACGUCCCUGCUCCUU